GGGCUUUCUAUCAUAUCCAUAACACCUGUGCACUUGUUGGAUGUCUAGAGACGUAAAGUCGACAGUCAUCCACUUACACUAAACAAUAAUGUAACAAAUGUAGUCUUAUUAUAACAAAAUAAAACUUUCAACAACGGAUCUCUUGGCUCUCGCAUCGAUGAAGAACGCAGCGAAAUGCGAUAAGUAAUGUGAAUUGCAGAAUUCAGUGAAUCAUCGAAUCUUUGAACGCACCUUGCGCUCCUUGGUAUUCCGAGGAGCAUGCCUGUUUGAGUGUCAUGAAAACCCUCAACCUUAGAUUGGUUAUUUGACCUUUCUUUGGCUUGGAUUUGGACGUUUGCCGAUGUCAAGUCGGCUCGUCUUAAAAGUAAUAGCUGGAUCUGUCUCGCGACAUGGUUUGACUUGGCGUAAUAAGUAUUUCGCUAAGGACAUCUUCGGAUGGCCCUGUUGCAGGACUAAAGACCGCUUUCUAAUCCAUUGAUCUUCGGAUUAAUAUUCAUAACAUCUGGCCUCAAAUCAGGUAGGACUACCCGCUGAACUUAAGCAUAUCAAUAAGCGGAGGAAAAGAAACUAACAAGGAUUCCCCUAGUAACGGCGAGUGAAGCGGGAAGAGCUCAAAUUUGAAAUCUGGUAGCCUUCGGUUGCCCGAGUUGUAAUCUAGAGAAGUGUUUUCCGCGUUGGCCCAUGUACAAGUCCCUUGGAACAGG
rnacentral:rRNA from 1 species